UACGAAGGGGGCUAGCGUUGUUCGGAAUCACUGGGCGUAAAGGGCGCGUAGGCGGCUUUAUAAGUCGGGGGUGAAAGCCUGUGGCUCAACCACAGAAUUGCCUUCGAUACUGUAGAGCUUGAGACCGGAAGAGGUAAGUGGAACUGCGAGUGUAGAGGUGAAAUUCGUAGAUAUUCGGAAGAACACCAGUGGCGAAGGCGGCUCACUGGCCCGUUACCGACGCUCAGGCGCGACAGCGUGGGGGAGCAAACAGG
rnacentral:rRNA from 1 species